AUUGAACGCUGGCGGCAGGCCUAACACAUGCAAGUCGAGCGGUAGCACAGAGAGCUUGCUCUCGGGUGACGAGCGGCGGACGGGUGAGUAAUGUCUGGGAAACUGCCUGAUGGAGGGGGAUAACUAAUGGAAACGGUAGCUAAUACCGCAUAACGUCGCAAGACCAAAGUGGGGGACCUUCGGGCCUCAUGCCAUCCGAUGUGCCCAGAUGGGAUUAGCUAGUAGGUGGGGUAACGGCUCACCUAGGCGACGAUCCCUAGCUGGUCUGAGAGGAUGACCAGCCACACUGGAACUGAGACACGGUCCAGACUCCUACGGGAGGCAGCAGUGGGGAAUAUUGCACAAUGGGCGCAAGCCUGAUGCAGCCAUGCCGCGUGUAUGAAGAAGGCCUUCGGGUUGUAAAGUACUUUCAGCGGGGAGGAAGGCGACAAGGUUAAUAACCUUGUCGAUUGACGUUCCCGCAGAAGAAGCACCGGCUAACUCCGUGCCAGCAGCCGCCGUAA
rnacentral:rRNA from 1 species